UACGUAGGGUGCAAGCGUUAAUCGGAAUUACUGGGCGUAAAGCGUGCGCAGGCGGUGAUGUAAGUCAGUUGUGAAAUCCCCGGGCUCAACCUGGGAACUGCAUCUGUGACUGCAUUGCUGGAGUACGGCAGAGGGGGAUGGAAUUCCGCGUGUAGCAGUGAAAUGCGUAGAUAUGCGGAGGAACACCGAUGGCGAAGGCAAUCCCCUGGGCCUGCACUGACGCUCAUGCACGAAAGCGUGGGGAGCAAACAGG
rnacentral:rRNA from 1 species